rnacentral:rRNA from 1 species
CCCUUAGAUGCUCUGGGCCGCACGCGCGCUACACUGGUCGAUGCAACGAGUUUCUUUCCUUGGCCGACAGGCCUGGGCAAUCUUUGAACAUCGAUCGUGAUCGGGAUAGAUUCUUGUAAUUUUUGAUCUUAAACGAGGAAUUCCUAGUAAACGCAAGUCAUCAGCUUGCAUUGAUUACGUCCCUGCCCUUUGUACACACCGCCCGUCGCACCUACCGAUUGAAUGGUCCGGUGAAAUCUCCGGACUGGCGUGAGUCGGAGCAAUCUGACAAACACCGGAAAGUUGAUUAAACCUUACCAUUUAGAGGAAGGUGANGUCGUNACA